rnacentral:rRNA from 1 species
GUUGUCCGGAUUUAUUGGGCGUAAAGCGAGCGCAGGCGGUGAUUUAAGUCUGAUGUGAAAGCCCCCAGCUCAACUGGGGAGGGUCAUUGGAAACUGGAUCACUUGAGUGCAGAAGAGGAGAGUGGAAUUCCAUGUGUAGCGGUGAAAUGCGUAGAUAUAUGGAGGAACACCAGUGGCGAAGGCGGCUCUCUGGUCUGUAACUGACGCUGAGGCUCGAAAGCGUGGGUAGCAAACAGGAUUAGAUACCCUGGUAGUCCACGCCGUAAACGAUGAGUGCUAAGUGUUGGAGGGUUUCCGCCCUCCAGUGCUGCAGUUAACGCAUUAAGCACUCCGCCUGGGGAGUACGACCGCAAGGUUGAAACUCAAAGGAAUUGACGGGGGCCCGCACAAGCGGUGGAGCAUGUGGUUUAAUUCGAAGCAACGCAAAGAACCUUACCAGGUCUUGACAUCCUUUGACCGCCCUAGAGAUAGGGUUUCCCCUUCGGGGGCAAAGUGACAGGUGGUGCAUGGUUGUCGUCAGCUCGUGUCGUGAGAUGUUGGGUUAAGUCCCGUAACGAGCGCAACCCUUAUUGUUAGUUGCCAGCAUUGAGUUGGGCACUCUAGCAAGACUGCCGGUGACAAACCGGAGGAAGGCGGGGAUGACGUCAAAUCAUCAUGCCCCUUAUGACCUGGGCUACACACGUGCUACAAUGGGAAGUACAACGAGCAAGCCAAGCCGCAAGGCCUAGCGAAUCUCUGAAAGCUUCUCUCAGUUCGGAUUGCAGGCUGCAACUCGCCUGCAUGAAGCCGGAAUCGCUAGUAAUCGCGGAUCAGCAUGCCGCGGUGAAUCCGUUCCCGGGCCUUGUACACACCGCCCGUCACACCACGAGAGUUUGUAACACCCAAAGUCGGUGCGGCAACCCUUCGGGGAGCCAGCCGCCUAAGGUGGGACGAAUGAUUGGGGUGAA